rnacentral:rRNA from 1 species
GACAGAGGUGCCAAGCGUUAGGCGGAAUCACUGGGCUUAAAGCGUGUGUGAGGCGGAUCGUUAAGUACCUUGUGAAAUCCCACGGCUCAACCGUGGAACUGCUGGGUAUACUGGCGGUCUUGAGCCACCUAGGGGCAACUGGAACAAGCGGUGGAGCGGUGAAAUGCGUAGAGAUCGGGAGGAACACCAGUGGCGAAGGCGGCUACCUGGACCAGCACUGACACUGAGGCACGAAAGCGUGGGGAGCAAACAGG